rnacentral:lncRNA from 1 species
AGGUUUACAUUCCUUUUUCAAAUUUCUACACUCCAAACAACCCUUCAUUUUUGUCAGUCCUUGAAUCUUCUGCCCAAAACCUGAGGUACUUGGUGCCUUCAAUGCCAAAGCCUGAGUUUAUAUUCACUCCAUUGACCGAAUCCCAUCUCCAAGCAGCUGUUAUUUGCUCCAGGUAUCUAAGAAUUCAUCUAAGAGUUCGCAGCGGAGGCCACGAUUAUGAGGGCCUUUCUUAUGUAUCACAAAUUGAAACACCUUUCUUUCUUUUAGACCUUGCCAAGCUUAGAUCCAUUGAAGUUGAUAUUAACAAUAAAACCGCUUGGGUUCAGGCUGGUGCCACAAUUGGUGAACUGUAUUACAGAAUUUCGGAAAAAAGCAAUAUUCAUGGCUUUGCUGCCGGUCUUUGCCCAAGUGUGGGCAUUGGAGGGCACAUCACAGGAGGGGGCUAUGGUACCAUGAUGAGAAAAUAUGGCCUUGCUGCUGAUAACGUUGUUGAUGCAAGAAUUGUUGACGCUCACGGCAGGAUUCUUGACAGAGAAGCCAUGGGGGAAGAUUUAUUUUGGGCUAUUCGAGGCGGUGGAGGAGGUAGCUUUGGAAUCAUUCUUGCCUGGAAGGUAAAACUAGUUCCUGUGCCAGCAACUGUGACAGUUUUUACGGUUAGCAAGACCCUGGAACAAGGUGCCACAGAGAUUCUUUACAAAUGGCAACAAGUUGCGGAUAAUCUUGAUGAGCAUUUGUUCAUUAGAGUCAUCAUAAAAUUGGCAAACACAGGGCCAAAAGGGAAAAGAACUGUCACAACUUCAUAUAAUGCCCUGUUUCUUGGUGAUGCAGAGAGGCUUCUUCAAGUAAUGCAUAAGAGGUUUCCUGAAUUAGGUUUAACGCGAAAUGAUUGCAUUGAGAAAAGCUGGAUCAAGUCAGUGCUUUACAUUGCUGGAUACCCAUAUAACACAGACCCUGAAAUUCUACUUGAAGAAAGGUCUUUGUUCAAGAGCUAUUUCAAAGCCAAAUCAGACUUUGUUAAAGAGCCUAUUCCUGAAACUGUGCUUGAAGGGCUAUGGGAAAUGUUAUUGGAAGGACAUGAUCCAGAGAUGAUUUGGAAUCCUUAUGGUGGAAUGAUGAGCAAGAUUUCAGAAUAUGAGAUUCCUUUCCCUCAUAGAAAGGGCAAUUUAUUCAAAAUCCAGUACUUGACCGGCUGGAAAGAUGGGGACAACAGAACUGCAACAAAGCAUAUUGAGGGAAUUAGGAGGAUAUAUGAUUACAUGGCUCCUUAUGUUUCAAUGUUCCCCAGAGCUGCAUAUGUGAAUUACAGGGAUCUCGAUUUGGGCAUGAACAAGAAAUGUAACACAAGUUACAUUGAGGCGGCUACUUGGGGUGUCAAGUAUUUCAAAGAAAAUUUCAACAGAUUGGUUAGAGUUAAGAUCAACGUUGAUCCUGGUAACUUAUUCAGGCAUGAACAAAGCAUUCCACCAGUUCCAGUUGGAUUGGAACACUCUACUGCUUGAUUGGAAUUUUAUUUUUGCUGUACAAUUUGUAUUAAAUAGUACGAUGUUUGCACUCUCGUAUGUAGAAAACUUUUGACAUGGCAAUAAAGUUAGUUUCGCUUGCCUUUGCUGAAUCCGCACUGGACUGUGUUUCUAUUUAUUUACGCAGUAAUCUUGGUUUUGGUCUACUUACUACAAUCUUACUCUUAAUUAAUCUCAUGGCACAACAUGCCUAAAGACUCUUUCACCAACCAUUCUUCGAUCAAGUGGAGGACACCUUUUCUUGGAAUAUUCACAGACAUUAAUGAAAUUGGUAUUUUACUUUUUAUGGCUGUAAUUUUUCUAUUUUUAUUUUUGAGUAGUUUUAUCUUGAUUAUUAAGUCAAGACUUCGAGUAGAAAAGUUAGUGUGCGCAUGUGUGUAUAUGUUGAACAGGAAUUUAGUGAAUUAUGAUAAGGUUUAAUAAAUUUCAUUGAUUAUAAUCCACACAAGCUUUAAUAAACUUAAUUGACCUUAAUUCUGAGUGGAUAAUGAACUUACAUUCUUGUAUUAUAUUUUUUAAGUUAUCAUGGAGUAAAAUCCAUAUAAAUAAUCAAAAUCUCAAUAACUUAGAGAUGUAAUUUCAUGGACCGUAGGAAUAUAUACUUACAAGAUGGAAUUUAUGCAAUUGAUGCUUACUUAAACUGUUUAUGAUACUUGAAUAUGUGGCCGAAAUUUAGUCAAUAAAUUUUUUUUUAAUAAUAAUAUUUAUUUGUGAUUUUUUAAAAUAUAGAUAUAUUAAAACUGAUAUUUAGAAUGAAUAGUAACUUAGGAGUAAAUAUAUAAUUACAAAAACAUGAUAUUUACCAUAAGAUAACUUUAAUUAUGAGCAUUAAAUAGAGGGUGUCAAUUAAGUAGCUUUUAUUGGUCUAAGAUUGGGCCUAUUAUUAAUUUAAAAAAGUUUUAAUUAGUUGUUUAUUUAUUACAUGGGUCACUAUAGUACAUCUUUCGGCAUUUAGUGAAAUAGCCUCAUAUUAAAAUGGUGAUAUUUGACCUCCCAAUUUAUCUCACUAGCCCUCAAUUUUCUAUUAAUAUUAUUUAUUCCAAAAUUUCACCAAAUGAAAAAUAAAAAAAUAAUUGAAAAUAAAUUUAUUUUCUUUUAUCUCAAGCUCAAAGUAGAUUAACUUCUCAUUUCUCUUUUUUUAUAAUUAAUUUCACACAAAAUAAAAACCAAUAUCAUCAAUAAUAAUGAACCCACCCCUUGUUUAUAACCCCCGACUUGUUUAUAAAAUUUAACAAAAACCCAACAUUAAUUAAAACUCAUAUAUGUUUGUAGAGAUGAUGGAUUGGUGGUGAUGGUGAACUUGUUAUUGGUAAAGAUAGGUGGUGGAGUGGUGAGGGGGAUGAAUAUGCUAGAGAGAGGAGGGAUGUGGAGGGAGAGAGAAUAAAAUAAAAAAUAAAAAUUUUUAAAAAAGUUUCAAUAAGUAUAAUUCUGAAAAGUGAGGGCUGAUGAGAUAAUUUCAAGGAUCAAAUAUCAUCAAUACUGAGAUUAACCUAGUAGUUUUGUAUAUCAUGAGAUAUAAGGCCUUGACUUUUAAGUUAGAGCUAGAAAGCUCAUUCUCACUACUAAAACUCAUUCUUAGUCAAGCUCUUCCUUUAAUAAAAUGCCUAUAUAAAGGAGAGAAAAUUAGAAAUGAAGUAAUCUUUAGAUUCAGAAAUUUUUUUAUAUAAAAGAAAGACGAAGUUCUAAAGUCUCUGUCUCCUAUAUUGGAAUUAGUAUUUACUAUACAUUCAUAAGUGUGAGGGAGAUGAUUAAGGAUAGCGGACAAGACUACAAUCAUAUUUUGUAAAUUCCAAUAAUGGUGGUGAAAAAAUUACAGUCAGUCUUCUUCGAAUUUUAAUUGAAAAUCUGACAUAUUUCGGUAAUCAUAUAGAUGCAUACAUAAUUAAGAAAAAGACUUUUGCUUAUUUUAUUAAAUUAAAAAAAGAAGAAGAUUUUUUUAGGCCUGUUUUACCAACAGCUUGAUGACGACGAUGGAUUGCAGGAGAUUAUUUGAUUGGCACACGUGAAUCCUUUGAGUUAUUGAACGUCAUUAAUGUUAAGUCCAUUGAUUUGGCCUAACAUAAAAAUUCCUUAAACUAAAAGCAGUUGUGUUCUUUGAAUGGUACAAGUAGCCGUUGUUUACCAAAAAUAACGUAAAAUAAGAAUGAAAGAGAAGAUGGCCUUACAUAAAAAUUAAGUUAAAGGGGAGGGAGACACAUGUUUUGCUCGUACCUUUUGUAAGACCCACCAACGCCGCUGAGGAAAGCGAACAAAUAAUAAUGUAAUGUAAUAAUAAUAAUGAAUAUGAUGAUCAUGAUUUGGAGCAUUAAAACGAUGGAUGGGGAUAUUUUUUCACCAUAAUUUGUGUGAAUCUACUUUAAUUUAAAAAAUAUUAAUUUGUAUAAAUUCAACUUAUUUUAAAAAUAUAUCAACCAAAAAUUUAAUUAUUUAAAUAAAAAUAAAAAUUUAAACAAUUAAUCAAUUAAAUACUUGUAAUGUUGUCAUUUCUUUUAGGGUGUGCAAGGCUUGUGAUCAUAUCUAUAUGCUUUAUCAUCUUGGAAAUUAAUUCAGGUCAUAUUUUAUUUUUGGAAUGGUUGUACUUGUAGCUUAUUAAGAAUUCACAUUAUAAUUAUUAGACUGAAUACAGAGUAUAAAUUAAUCAUUAGCAGCAAUUCUAUCUUUAGGUCCAGUUUGAUAUUGAGGUCCGCUGUAAAAAAUAGUUGUAAUUAUGGAAUAAAAAUUAAUAAUAUGUAGUAAAUACCACUUUUAAAUAAUAACUUUGACAAAAUUAGUAAAUAUAUAAUAUAUUUUUCAUCAUAUAAGCAUAAAUUACCAAUCACUUUAAUAAUGUACCUUUAAAAUUACAAUUAUCCAACCUCUAUCUCAAACGGAGCUUUAGAUUUUGUAUCUAAUGGGUGGUGUUUCUUGUCGCUUCUAAGGUUUGUUUUACAAUAUUAUAUUUUCUUCCCGGAUGGUAGGUAAGGCAAGGAAUUUUUAACUUUUAAUAAUUUAUAAUUAAGUGGAUUUGUCCUAUGGAGCCUAACAGAGUGGUACUCAAGCAGUAUUAUUUAGUUGGCUUAAUAAGAACUUUGCUCAUCCCUAUCUUAAAAAAAAAAUGAAUUUGUAAUUAGUUUAGGUGAAGUAAUUGAUGGGACUUUUCUUUUCUCAAAAGGAUAACCUUUCAAUACCAGUUUAUAGGGAGAAAAUGUAGUACAAUCGAGUAGUGGCGAAAUGAGAAAUCAACUUUAGAAGGGGCAAAUUCUAACACGAAUUAAAAAUAAUUUGAGAGAUUUCAAUUAUGUAAAAGGAUUAUUUAAAAAAAAACAUUGAUGGGAGAUCAUGAAACAAGAUCACAUCUAUUGAUUUGUUGAUUGAAAAAAGAAAGAAGAUUGUAAAGUUAAAGAGUAGAAUUGGAUGGAAGCCAAAAUAAUGAAUUUUGAUUGGUAUUUUUGAAAUUCUGAAAAGUAUGGAGUGGGCAGGAGGCCUUUUUAUGGUAACUGUAAAUUCAAAACGCAGAUUUUCUAAUAUAUCGAAAAGAGAAUUUCUAUCACCAUUAUGUCAAUUGAGGAAAUUUCGACUUCCAACAUCACCAUCAUAAUGUCAAUUGAAGAAAUUUCAACAAUAGCAAAAUUCAAUUUGAUUUUUUUAGCUUUUGUUAUUAAUUAAUUUUCUUUUUAUUGCUCUCUUUUUUCAAUGUUUAAUUCCAAAAUAAUAUCUCUCUCGUUGAACUCUCCUAAGGAUCUGAAAUUGCUUCUUCUUCUUCUUCUUCUUCAUUUUUUUCUCAUUUUUUUUGGGGGUUUUAGCUUUUCUUCUGUGAGAAAUUUCGUCAAUUUUAACACAAGCCAAAGUACAAACCUCAAAAAUUGAUCAUGCCGAAGUCCUCCCAAACGUUGUAGAAGCUGAAAUGGAACAUUACAUUAAAGAAUUAGACAGAAAAAAUAAAGAGUUUGAAGAUGUAAAGCUGAAGUUUUGGGAUUAUACCAUCAUAAACCAAAUUAUUCCAGCAAAAAAAAAAUGUUGUACAUAAGUUAUUGAAAGAGUUGAUGGAAAAAAAUGAAAAGGAAAUUACGUCUUCCUCAAUGUUUAUGUGUUCGUUAUUAUUGUUAUUCUUUUAAGAGGGAAAAUAAACAAGGUAGUUUAAUGAAAAGUAUGUUUUAUUAGGCAAAAGAAAAUGAGAAAGAAAAAAAUUAAUCCAAAUCAUUGAUUGUAGAAGAUGAAAUGUGCAAGUAGAAUUCUUAAGAGUUAAGUAAAAACUCAACUCAACACCGAUCUAAAUUCAUAUUUAUGAUACAAAUCGGAAUUCAAAUGUUGAAAUUCUUAGCUUUUAUUUGACAAGUUGCUGUGAGAUUUCCAUAAUUUUAAUAUGUGCUAGAAAAUUCAUGAUUUAUUCAAGUUCAUUAAAUUAUUAAUUGGGUAGUGCCGUAGUGCUGAAAUAAGUCUUUAUUUCGUUACAUAAGAAUUUGUGACUACAUCAUCAAUAAUGAUUCAUUCCUAACUAGAUGAAUCCGCUCGUAGAACAAAAAUUCAAAAGCCCUGAGUCAAUAAAAAGUAAUAAAAUUAUUGGAGAAUUCAAUCCUAACCAUUAAUUCUGAAGCAGUAGGAAUGAUGAAACCCAUGAAUAAAGAAGAUUAUAAUAAUAGUAGAUAUAAAAGCAAUAAUCCUGACUCUGAUCAUUUAUAUUUAUGAUAUUAAAUCAAGUUAGAAUAAUCACAAUCAUAAUUACCUUGACUCUUAUCUUCAUUUUCAAAUCUAUAUUGAUAGUCACAUUUUAAACGGUUUUCCUUGGAGACAAAAAAUCACCCACGGGAUUUUAUCGAUUUGCAAAUAGAAAAGAUCUUUAGACUGAAAGUGAUAUAAUAUCCAUUUAAUGAAUGAUAAAAUAAUUAAAUAAGUAAUUUGAAAAAUUAUGAAAAUUUACAGUCAAUAAUUGAAUACCGUUGCCUCACAAGUGCAGAAAUUAAAUUAAUUUCGCAGAUCACACGCUAACAAUAAAGUUUUUAAAAUAAUCCGAUCAUUUAUUAAAUUAUUUGAUAUCAUAGGGAAAAAAAUCAUAAAAGACAAAUUUUUGGUCAAUCAUGAACAGAAUUUCCAAAAAGAAAAUGUAAUUUGAAAAUCAAAAGGGGAUUUCACUGUACUUAAUAUUGAAUAUUACCAGCAGCCGUCAUCUUAAUUAUUUUAUAUCGUAUUAAUCAUCAUUGCCACGCGUAGAGGUAGGAAAUUUUCAAUCCCAAAUAUUUCACGUUUCAGUUGCUCGCUUUGUGAAAUGGAAGAAUCCCUACCAAACAAUUAGGGACGGGAUAUUUCUACCCCUAAAUCCAUCCUAUUUUUUAGAAAUACUUAUAAUAAGUUUAUUUCGAAUCGUGUACAUUUGGUGUCAUUAGCAUACAUUGUACAAAAACUUUUGCAUUAAAAUUUUUCACAAUGAUAUUGUGAUUGUGUUAAUCAUAAUGGAGAAUAAAGGAAUUUUGAUCUAUAUGUAAAAAGAAAUAUAUUGAAGUCAAGAUCUAGUUCCAUUGGUAGAGAGUAGUCUUCCUUAGGCCAUCUCCAAUGCAUAACACCAUUUUGGUGUAACACCAACACAAAAAAUGUAUUUUUUUCACACCAAAUUACUAUUUCAUCUCCAACCCAUUUAUACCAAAUUUUACACCAAAAAGAAUAUUCUUCUUUUUAUUCAUUUAAUUCUCAAGAAUUAAUUCAAUUAACACAGUAAAUAUUACUAUUAAUAUAGAUAAUUAAGUAAUAAGUAAUUUUAUAUCGAUUAACAAAAAAAAUAUAGAAAAUUAUUAAAUUUGCAUUUAAUUAACUAAAUUAGUACAUUAUGAAAAUUAAACAUUACAUUAAUAUAGAAAAAUACAAUAACAAUAAAUAACAACAAUAAUAUAGAAAAAUACAAUACAAUAACAAUAAUACUCUAGUUAUUCGAAUUACUAAAUCCAUCCCAUAAAUGAUCAAUUAGUGCAUUUCGGAGUGCAAUGUGAGCCUAUUUAUCCUUGAUUUGUUUGUGUCGAGCAAUAUUUUGAUGAUAUUGGAGGAUCUAAUAAUGAUCUCCCACAUUACUAAAUAAUUGUUCUAAUUUAUGCUAGUAGUAGUAGCUUUUUUAAUUUGUGUUAAUUUAAUUUUAUAUUUUUAAUUUUGUAAUAUGUAAUCUAGUAAUUAAUGUUAUUGGCAUUUUAUUUUUAUUAUUAAUUUUUUUGUUGAAUAUUUUUUAUUUAAAAUAUUAGUAUAAUAUUCAAAAAUUAAAAAAUGAAAUUAAAAAUAACAAAAAUAAUAAUAAUAACUUAAAAUAUUAUAUAAAUUAGGACAUGUAUGUAAAUAAGAUAAAGUAAUAAGGAUAUUUGAGACUUUUUUUCCCUAGCACCAAAUAUGGUGUAAUGAAUAAUGUUGCACCAUAUUUGGUGCAAUACUAUUCAUUACACCAUUUUGGUGUUGAUUUUGGUGUUACAUUGGAUAAGCAUUUUACACUAAAAAUUAUGUAAAAGGUGAUUUUGUGUUAGGUUUAAUGCUACAUUGGCGAUGCCAUAAUGCUAUUCUGAGUUCGAAAUUUAAUGAAUAUAUGAAUUAAUAAAAAAAAAAGAGCGCAUCGAAGAUUUGAGAAAUGACACGAGUCCCACAAUCAUCUCAGAGAAGAAAAUGCAACAAAGUGCUGGGAGUUCAUCAUGGAGCCCGACAACACCUUAUCUUCUGAUAUCUUUUGCAGAAUAAAAAACAUGGAUCAUAAAAAUCUUAACUUUUCGACGACUUUUUUCUCCAGUUACAUAUUUUAAUCCUUUUAUAUUGCAUCUCCUCCUAACCGUUGGAUUCUCUCUUCAAAUGAAUCCAACGGUUUUAGGCACCAUUUGCUGAACAUUGCAUUGCCAAGUCCAAAUUUUGAAAAUCCUUGCUAAGCUGGAAAGCAAUGAGAGAAGGGACGCCAAGAAUCAAGCUUCCCCUUGUGACUAAUAAACAUUGUAUAAAAGGCACAUGAACUGAGUUAAUGGCGACGGAGCCCAAUUAUAAAUGAAUCAAACUAACUUCGGCAAAAGAAAAUGAUGCCUCCAACCAAGUGCAUUCUCCCGCUACUUUCAGUUCUUCUGUUAUCAGCUUCAGGGACAACUUCAAUUUCAAUUUUAGAUAAUUUUAUCAAAUGCCUCACAAUUAAUGCCGAGAUUUACAUUCCUUUUUCAAAUUUCUAUACUCCAAACAACUCUUCAUUUUUGUCAAUCCUUGAAUCUUCUGCUCAAAACCUCAGGUACUUGGUGCCUUCGAUGCCAAAGCCUGAGUUUAUAUUCACUCCAUUGAAUGAAUCCCAUGUCCGAGCAGCCGUUAUUUGCGCCAGAGAUCUAAGGAUUCAUCUAAGAAUUCG